rnacentral:rRNA from 1 species
AGCCACACUGGAACUGAAACACGGCCCAGACUCCUACGGGAGGCAGCAGGGGGGAAUAUUGCACAAUGGGCGCAAGCCUGAUGCAGCCAUGCCGCGUGUAUGAAGAAGGCCCUAGGGUUGUAAAGUACUUUCAGUCGGGAGGAAGGCGUUGAUGCUAAUAUCAUCAGCGAUUGACGUUACCGACAGAAGAAGCACCGGCUAACUCCGUGCCAGCAGCCGCGGUAAUACGGAGGGU